ACAACUAUUAAUGAGUUUGUUUUGACACCUCCAACCCAUUUAUUUUAGUAAUGUCAUUUUUAUUAAAAACAUUUUUCAUUUCUUCUUCUCACUUUCUACAAUUAUAUUUUUCUUGUAAUUUCUUUUUUUUUUUCCUGCAAAGACAAUUUCACUAAGAUUUCAUAGAACUAACUUCCAUGAUAUCUCAACACCCUUCAAAUUUUCUACAGUGAUUGUUCAUACAAAGGGGUAAUAAAAACAUUCUUAUUUUGUAUUUACCUAGAUCAAGCAUAAUUAGUAGACUAAUAGAAAACCAAAUUAAGAUUAAUAUUUCUUAUGAACAUAAUAAGUUAUGCUUUCACAAUCUUAAGUAAGAAACUAAAUACAAAAUAUUCUAGCAAAGCCUUUGUGCCCAAUCUUAAGUAAGAAAGUAAAUACAAAAUAAAUUCAGAAUUUAAUCUUCAUGGAGAUAUUAACAUAUCUACAUAUUUUAUUCAUGCAAACCACUCUGUAUGAUUCUCCACCUGAAAGAUUUGAACAAUCAGAAUCUCUCACACAUGUCGUAUGUUUUAGUGCUGCAAAAAAGAAAAGAAAUUAAAUAAUAUAUGAUAAAAUAUUGUGUGCAAAUAAAAGAAUGAAGUUUAUAAGAAAUAAAAAAUGGCUUACCUUCAAUGUUCUGUUCAACAAAAUAUAUGAAAAUAAAUAUAAUUAUAACAUAAACAAACAUGGAAACUAAGGCCAUUUAUUCCCUUGUGCAUCUAACAAAUUAUUCUAUCAUUUUAUAAUUUAAAAAGCAUGUCCUCUCCUUACAUCAAUUAAAUAGUUUUUAGUAUUUAUAUAUUUGUAAAAAAUCAUUCCUUCAAUCAUUAUAGUUAUUAAAUAUCCCCAAGUACAUCAAAGUAUA
rnacentral:lncRNA from 1 species